rnacentral:misc_RNA from 1 species
ACUAAAUAUUGAUUAUUAUGGGUAAAAUCAUCUUAGAAUUAUAAAUCAUACAGAAAAUUUAAUUCAUGUUGUUUAUCCGUUUGGGACAACUGGUUUUUUAGCUCAGAAUAGGAUAUAACUAACAAUUUGAACCCAUUUUAUUUGGCGUGUCAUAUAUUCAGUUCUUUAAAUUUACAGAAUGACGUCACUUCCUUGCUGAUCAAAAACAAGGAAAAUAUUUUGAAACUUGUAGUUUUCAUGUAAUAUUGUGCCUCCUGUAGGAUGGGAGGUUGUAUAGGGUCCAACAGGAAUAACUCUGGGGGUCAUCGUGACAGUUCAGAUGGUGCAGCACAAGUAUCAAUAGGCAGAAAUCAGCCUUUAAAGCCAGAAAAGCCAAAAUGGAAAAGUGAUAUUCCCCUCACAGAAGGACAAUUGAGAAGUAAACGGGAUGAAUUUUGGGAUACAUCUCCAGCCUUUGAAGGACGAAAAGAGAUCUGGGAUGCUUUGAAAGCUGCUGCAUAUGCCCUGGAAACUGGGGACCACACGCUUGCUCAAGCUAUAGUAGAUGGAGCGAACAUUGCAUUGCCAAAUGGCAACCUUAUGGACUGUUAUGAUGAGUUAGGGAAUAGAUAUCAGCUGCCAGUAUAUGUACUUAGUUCCCCCACCAACCUUAUUGAUGAUAAAUCAGAAUCCGAUAGCCUCGGAGACUUGGACAAUACAUCUCCUGGGGUGGAAAUUCCACUAAAAUUCCGUCUUUCUACAGGAAAGGAUAUUAAACUGAUAACAAGGUCGACAGAGACAGUUUUCCGUGUUAAGAAACGGAUUAUGGAACAAGAGGGCAUAGACUCAUCCAGACAAAGAUGGUUCUUCUCAGGACGGUUAUUAAGUGACAAAAUGAGAAUCGAAGAUGCAAAAAUCCCGAAAGGAUUUGUUGUACAGGUUAUAAUAUCGCCUGAGAAUCCAAUAGCAGCGGAUAGUUGAAACAAAGUGUGCAGUAUAGAAAAUUAUCAUUUAUAAUUAAUAUAAUACGAAAUAAGUUUAUUUUAUUGUGAUAACUUUUAUAAACAUUUAUAAAAGGGGCUCAAAAAUCAGAAUGUCCCUGAACUAGUAUGGACUAGUUUCAAAUGUUGCUCGCAAAAAUGGGCUCAGUUGUAAGUCAUUAAAUUUUUAUUUUGGGGGAAAAUUUGUACAAUAUUAUUGAAUAUUACUCUUUAGACACAGUAAGAUUGUGAUAGAAAUGCCAAUUAUAUAUUGUAUAUCCUGUAUAUAUAUAAUAACCAUUAUAAUAUAGUGUAUUUUAGAGAUGUUCUCUUAAAGCAUAUAUCCAGGAAUACAGAAUUGCAAAUUUCCCACAGUUCUUUUCACAUGAAGGACAUUUGAAAAAAUUAUGUUUCAUCUUGUCAAAAAUCUGCACCCUGCCAAAAGUGUGAGAUAUCGAAACAUUUUUACCAAAAAAGGUAAAUUCAGGAUGUGUCACCCAGUUGAGAAAAAUCCUGGGGAGAUCAUUGGAUACUUAAAAAAUAAUGACUCAAAAUUUUAAAAUCUAUCAUUUUUGCCUGGAGAUGUACUAUUCUGGUGUAUAGUAUUAUAAUAUUGUAUCAUAUCCAUAAGAAACACACUGUGGUAUACUCUGUAUAAUAAACCACCCUUUGACACUAAUAUAAAAUUAGACCCUCGAUUUCCACUUUUUACAAAUCUCAAACACCACUACAGUAAAACCUCUAUAUAGUGAACACUUGUGGAGUCAGAAAAAGGUGUUCAAUGUAGGUAAGUAUUCAUUAUAGAGAUUUGAUUUUAUACAAGAGGCCAUGUAAAAUGUUUCAUCAAGUGAUGUU